rnacentral:rRNA from 1 species
AGUCGAGCGAGUCUGCCUUGAAGAUCGGAGUGCUUGCACUCUGUGAAACAAGAUACAGGCUAGCGGCGGACGGGUGAGUAACACGUGGGUAACCUGCCCAAGAGAUCGGGAUAACACCUGGAAACAGAUGCUAAUACCGGAUAACAACAGAUGAUGCCUAUCAACUGUUUAAAAGAUGGUUCUGCUAUCACUCUUGGAUGGACCUGCGGUGCAUUAGCUAGUUGGUAGGGUAACGGCCUACCAAGGCGAUGAUGCAUAGCCGAGUUGAGAGACUGAUCGGCCACAUUGGGACUGAGACACGGCCCAAACUCCUACGGGAGGCAGCAGUAGGGAAUCUUCCACAAUGGACGCAAGUCUGAUGGAGCAACGCCGCGUGAGUGAAGAAGGGUUUCGGCUCGUAAAGCUCUGUUGUUGGUGAAGAAGGACAGGGGUAGUAACUGACCUUUGUUUGACGGUAAUCAAUUAGAAAGUCACGGCUAACUACGUGCCAGCAGCCGCGGUAAUACGUAGGUGGCAAGCGUUGUCCGGAUUUAUUGGGCGUAAAGCGAGUGCAGGCGGCUCGAUAAGUCUGAUGUGAAAGCCUUCGGCUCAACCGGAGAAUUGCAUCAGAAACUGUCGAGCUUGAGUACAGAAGAGGAGAGUGGAACUCCAUGUGUAGCGGUGAAAUGCGUAGAUAUAUGGAAGAACACCGGUGGCGAAGGCGGCUCUCUGGUCUGUUACUGAC